UACGUAGGGUGCAAGCGUUGUCCGGAUUUAUUGGGCGUAAAGAGCUUGUAGGCGGUCUGUCGCGUCUGCUGUGAAAAUCCGGGGCUCAACCCCGGACUUGCAGUGGGUACGGGCAGACUAGAGUGUGGUAGGGGAGACUGGAAUUCCUGGUGUAGCGGUGAAAUGCGCAGAUAUCAGGAGGAACACCGAUGGCGAAGGCAGGUCUCUGGGCCACUACUGACGCUGAGAAGCGAAAGCAUGGGGAGCGAACAGG
rnacentral:rRNA from 1 species